rnacentral:rRNA from 1 species
GACGAACGCUGGCGGCGUGCUUAACACAUGCAAGUCGAACGGAAAGGCCCUGCUUUUGUGGGGUGCUCGAGUGGCGAACGGGUGAGUAACGCGUGAGUAACCUGCCCUUGACUUUGGGAUAACUUCAGGAAACUGGGGCUAAUACCGGAUAGGAGCUCCUGCUGCAUGGUGGGGGUUGGAAAGUUUCGGCGGUUGGGGAUGGACUCGCGGCUUAUCAGCUUGUUGGUGGGGUAGUGGCUUACCAAGGCUUUGACGGGUAGCCGGCCUGAGAGGGUGACCGGCCACAUUGGGACUGAGAUACGGCCCAGACUCCUACGGGAGGCAGCAGUGGGGAAUAUUGCACAAUGGGCGGAAGCCUGGUGCAGCAACGCCGCGUGCGGGAUGACGGCCUUCGGGUUGUAAACCGCUUUCGCCUGUGACGAAGCGUGAGUGACGGUAAUGGGUAAAGAAGCACCGGCUAACUACGUG